rfam:Anopheles gambiae str. PEST whole genome shotgun sequencing project, whole genome shotgun sequence.
AACGUGAGCUGGGUUUAGACCGUCGUGAGACAGGUUAGUUUUACCCUACUGGUGUGUGCUUAUAGUCGCUAUCUUAACGGAAUUCCUGUGCAGUACGAGAGGAACCACAGGUACGGACCACUGGCUCAAUACUAGUCCGACCGGACUUUGGUAUGACGCUACGUCCGCUGGAUUAUGCCUGAACGCCUCUAAGGUCGUAGCCAAUCCGAGCUGAUAGCGCUUCUCAAACCCAUUAGGUGUUCGGAAGCUAGCGGGCCUAACAACCCUCUGAGAUCCGUUGGAGUCUGCGUCUGCAGCCCGGCGUCUCAUCCCGCUAUACCUAGGCCGCAACGAGUGGAGUUCGCUGCACGUGUUAGUACCGUAACUGGGAACGCCGUUGGCUUGAGCUCUGCCCAACGUGGAUAUACCUAGUUUCGACACCUAUCAACCGCCCGCAAACGACGGGACUUCAGGCUGGGAGCUGCGAGUUGUAGAGAUGCGUUCGCAUCGAUCCUCUCAGGCGACCCAUGCUUGGUGGUUUGU